rnacentral:ncRNA from 1 species
GUGUAACCCGCGGUGAGGACAAACAGAUCGUAAAGACGCCGUCAAUACCUCCCUGUAGGCUCGAGCCGCGCCAUCCCUAGCGCGGACGCUUU